rnacentral:rRNA from 1 species
AGAGUUUGAUCCUGGCUCAGGACGAACGCUGGCGGCGUGCCUAAUACAUGCAAGUAGAACGCUGAAGAGAGGAGCUUGCUCUUCUUGGAUGAGUUGCGAACGGGUGAGUAACGCGUAGGUAACCUGCCUUGUAGCGGGGGAUAACUAUUGGAAACGAUAGCUAAUACCGCAUAACAAUGGAUGACACAUGUCAUUUAUUUGAAAGGGGCAAUUGCUCCACUACAAGAUGGACCUGCGUUGUAUUAGCUAGUAGGUGAGGUAACGGCUCACCUAGGCGACGAUACAUAGCCGACCUGAGAGGGUGAUCGGCCACACUGGGACUGAGACACGGCCCAGACUCCUACGGGAGGCAGCAGUAGGGAAUCUUCGGCAAUGGGGGCAACCCUGACCGAGCAACGCCGCGUGAGUGAAGAAGGUUUUCGGAUCGUAAAGCUCUGUUGUAAGUCAAGAACGAGUGUGAGAGUGGAAAGUUCACACUGUGACGGUAGCUUACCAGAAAGGGACGGCUAACUACGUGCCAGCAGCCGCGGUAAUACGUAGGUCCCGAGCGUUGUCCGGAUUUAUUGGGCGUAAAGCGAGCGCAGGCGGUUUGAUAAGUCUGAAGUUAAAGGCUGUGGCUCAACCAUAGUUCGCUUUGGAAACUGUCAAACUUGAGUGCAGAAGGGGAGAGUGGAAUUCCAUGUGUAGCGGUGAAAUGCGUAGAUAUAUGGAGGAACACCAGUGGCGAAGGCGACGAUCUGGCGCAUAACUGACGCUCAGUCCCGAAAGCGUGGGGAGCAAAUAGGAUUAGAUACCCUAGUAGUCCACGCCGUAAACGAUGAGUACUAAGUGUUGGGAGUCAAAUCUCAGUGCUGCAGUUAACGCAAUAAGUACUCCGCCUGAGUAGUACGUUCGCAAGAAUGAAACUCAAAGGAAUUGACGGGGGCCCGCACAAGCGGUGGAGCAUGUGGUUUAAUUCGAAGCAACGCGAAGAACCUUA